rnacentral:rRNA from 1 species
AGUUCGGAUUGUAGGCUGAAACUCGCCUACAUGAAGCUGGAAUUGCUAGUAAUCACAGGUCAGCAUACUGCGGUGAAUACGUUCCCGGGCCUUGUACACACCGCCCGUCACACCAUGAGAGUUGAGAAUACCCGAAGCCCAUGUCAAAGUGGUCGAAGGUAGGCUUGAUGAUUGGGGUGAAGUCGUAACAAGGUAAC